GAUGAAGAACGUAGCGAAAUGCGAUAAGUAAUGUGAAUUGCAGAAUUCAGUGAAUCAUCGAAUCUUUGAACGCACAUUGCGCCCGUCAGUAUUCUGGCGGGCAUGCCUGUUCGAGCGUCAUUACGCCGCUCAAGUCCCCUGUGGACUUGGUGUUGGGGAUCGGCGAGGCUGGUUUUCCAGCACAGCCGUCCCUUAAAUUAAUUGGCGGUCUCGCCGUGGCCCUCCUCUGCGCAGUAGUAAAACACUCGCAACAGGAGCCCGGCGCGGUCCACUGCCGUAAAACCCCCCAACUUUUUAUAGUUGACCUCGAAUCAGGUAGGACUACCCGCUGAACUUAAGCAUAUCAAUAAGCGGAGGA
rnacentral:misc_RNA from 1 species